GAUGAAGAACGUAGCGAAAUGCGAUAAGUAAUGUGAAUUGCAGAAUUCAGUGAAUCAUCGAGUUUUUGAACGCAUAUUGCGCCCUCUGGUAUUCCGGGGGGCAUGCCUGUUCGAGCGUCAUUAAAUAACCCUCAAGCAUAGCUUGGUGUUGGGCCUUUUUACGUCCUUGACUGGGAUGGGCCUAAAAAUUAGUGGCGAUGGCUUUUUUACUUUCAAGCGUAGUAAAUCUCGUCUUGCUAAAGAGGAAAAAGAUUUUUUUUCUGCCAAAAAUUUUAACAUUUAAAGUUGACCUCGGAUCAGGUAGGAUUACCCGCUGAACUUAAGCAUAUCAAUAAGCGGAGGA
rnacentral:misc_RNA from 1 species